rnacentral:tRNA from 1 species
UGCUAACUCAACGGUAGAGUACUCGGCUUUUAUCCGACUAGCCCCGGGUUCGAAUCCCGGGCAA